CCUACGGGAGGCAGCAGUGAGGAAUAUUGGUCAAUGGACGCAAGUCUGAACCAGCCAUGUCGCGUGCAGGAUGACGGCCCUAUGGGUUGUAAACUGCUUUUUUACGGGAAUAAUUGCAGCUACGUGUAGUUGUUUGAAGGUACCGUAUGAAUAAGGAUCGGCUAACUCCGUGCCAGCAGCCGCGGUAAUACGGAGGAUUCGAGCGUUAUCCGGAUUUAUUGGGUUUAAAGGGUCCGUAGGCGGGCUUGUAAGUCAGUGGUGAAAUCCCGGAGCUCAACUCCGGAACUGCCAUUGAUACUGCAGGUCUUGAAUUUAGUUGAGGUGGGCGGAAUACGUUAUGUAGCGGUGAAAUGCAUAGAUAUAACGUAGAACACCGAUUGCGAAGGCAGCUCACUAAGCUAAUAUUGACGCUGAUGGACGAAAGCGUGGGGAGCGAACAGGAUUAGAUACCCUGGUAGUCCACGCCGUAAACGAUGAUUACUCGUUGUGCGCGAUACACAGUGCGCGACUGAGCGAAAGCAUUAAGUAAUCCACCUGGGGAGUACGUUGGCAACAAUGAAACUCAAAUGAAUUGACGG
rnacentral:rRNA from 1 species